AUUUUCGUUUUCAUCUAAAUAACGAAGCUUUAGAUUGUGUUCAUCAUGAAGUUUGUUGUACUUCUUCUGGUCACUUUUCUUUUUCAUGAUGCAAAAGGAAACGAAGUGUUGUCCUGUUUGCAUUGCUCGAGUUUCCUGUCAAUGGAUGACUGCACUGAAAACCAACGAGAGCAAAUCUGUUUUGGAGAAGAAAACCGCUGUGGAACGUUCAUCUCCCACUCCCCUGGACUGCAAGGCUACGCAAAAGGAUGCUUAACUGACUUUCUCUGCCAGGAAUACCAAGCCCAGGGUUACUGUGAGCAGAACCUUGGAGUUGAAUGUGAAGUAAAAUGCUGCCAGAGUAACCUCUGUAACUACUAAACUCCCAGUUUCCACUGGCAGCUUCAUAUUCUUGUUGCCAUAACACCAGAAAUAAACAUUCAAUCGCUGAA